GGCUCAGUAGCUCAGUGGUAGAGCAGGGGAUUCAUAAGCCCUUGGUCACAGGUUCGAGUCCCGUUUGAGCCA
rnacentral:tRNA from 2 species